UACGUAGGGAGCAAGCGUUGUCCGGAAUCAUUGGGCGUAAAGCGCGCGUAGGCGGCCCUGUAAGUCCGCUGUGAAAGUCAAAGGCUCAACCUUUGAAAGCCGGUGGAUACUGCAGGGCUAGAGUCCGGAAGAGGCGAGUGGAAUUCCUGGUGUAGCGGUGGAAUGCGCAGAUAUCAGGAGGAACACCAAUAGCGAAGGCAGCUCGCUGGGACGGUACUGACGCUGAGGAGCGAAAGCCAGGGGAGCAAACGGG
rnacentral:rRNA from 1 species